UACGAGGGGGGCAAAUGUUGUUCGGAAUCACUGGGCGUAAAGGGAGCGUAGGCCGGUUCUUAAGUUAGGUGUUUAAUCCCGGGGCCCAACCCCGGACCGGCACUUAAAACUGGGAAUCUUGAAUAGUGGAGAGGUCAGUGGAAUUGGGGGUGUAGCGGUGGGAUGCGUAGAGAUCCCCAAGAACACCAGUUGCGAAGGCGGCUGACUGGACACAUAUUGACGCUGAGGCUCGAAAGCAUGGGGAGCAAACAGG
rnacentral:rRNA from 1 species